rnacentral:rRNA from 1 species
GACGAACGCUGGCGGCGUGCUUAACACAUGCAAGUCGAACGAAGUGGCGAACGGGUGAGUAACGCGUAAUCAACCUGCCCUUCAGAGGGGGACAACAGUUGGAAACGACUGAUAAUACCGCAUACUGAAGGAGGGGCUUGCGUGUGAUUAGCUAGUGGGAGGGGUAACGGCCCACCAAGGCGAUGAUCAGUAGGCGGUCCGGGAGGAGGAACGGCCCAAAUGGGACUGGGACAAGGGCCCAGCUCCUACGGGAGGCAGGAAGGGGGAAUCUUUCGCAAUUGGCGGAAGUCUGACGGGGCAAACCCGCGGUGGGGGUGACGGCCUUCCGGUUGUAAAGCUCUGUUAAUCGGGACGCGGUACCGGAAUAGAAAGCCACGGCUAACUACGUGCCAGCAGCCGCGGUAAUUC